rnacentral:lncRNA from 1 species
UGAGAGGCGCUGCUGGGCGUCUGGGCGGAGGACUCCUGGUUCUGGGUGCUGGGAGAGCGAUGGGGCUCUCAGCGGUGGGAAGGACCCGAGCUGAGUCUGGGACAGCAGAGCGGGCAGCACCGGUUUUUGUCCUGGGCCUCCAGGCUGUGAGCACAGAUACGCAGUAUUUUGGCCCAGGCACCCGGCUGACAGUGCUCGGUAGGACCUGAAAAACGUGUUCCCACCCAAGGUCGCUGUGUUUGAGCCAUCAGAAGCAGAGAUCUCCCACACCCAAAAGGCCACACUGGUGUGCCUGGCCACAGGCUUCUACCCCGACCACGUGGAGCUGAGCUGGUGGGUGAAUGGGAAGGAGGUGCACAGUGGGGUCAGCACAGACCCGCAGCGCGCCGAGAGUCUUACCAGCAAGGGGUCCUGUCUGCCACCAUCCUCUAUGAGAUCUUGCUAGGGAAGGCCACCUUGUAUGCCGUGCUGGUCAGUGCCCUCGUGCUGAUGGCCAUGGUCAAGAGAAAGGAUUCCAGAGGCUAGCUCCAAAACCAUCCCAGGUCAUUCUUCAUCCUCACCCAGGAUUCUCCUGUACCUGCUCCCAAUCUGUGUUCCUAAAAGUGAUUCUCACUCUGCUUCUCAUCUCCUACUUACAUGAAUACUUCUCUCUUUUUUCUGUUUCCCUGAAGAUUGAGCUCCCAACCCCCAAGUACGAAAUAGGCUAAACCAAUAAAAAAUUGUGUGUUGGGCCUGGUUG